ACGCCAUUUUUUCUCAGACGAUAUUGUUUUUUUAACAACUAACUAUAAGCAUGUAUGAUGGGUCUCUGCUGAAACUAUGUUGUUGUUAGAAAGCUGACAAGUUGACCUCUUUAGCGAAACUGACCAACUGCACGGAUGCCUUACAGCCCCAGGAUGUUUGUGUAAACAAUCCCCUUAAAGACGCGCAUUCAUCAAACCUGGCAUCGCCGAUGCAGUCCGUUUGGCCAGAGAGUGACAUCGAGUGUAUUGACAGUUGGUUUGACUUCACAUGUAAGACACUGAUUGAAUUACCUAUUUUUUAUAAUGCAUGUUAUUCUGGACCAACAAUUACAACACAAUUAAAUAGUCUCGACACCGCAUUUCUGUUGUUUGUUUAUUCAGGCCGUUCAGCGUCACUGAACGUUAAGAUUAGUUUGAAGUUCGGAAAAAAUCAUGGAUAUAAUAUUUUCAAGGUUGCGUUUCUAACCUCGAAAACCUC